UUUUUUAGUAGUUUGAAAUCAACUGUAUCAUUUAGUUAAUUUUUUUAUUAAAAGACUUUGAAUUUUUAAAUAUAUGCGAUGAAAUCAACGAAGCCAAUAAUGCGAUUUGUUCUACCUUUUGAUCGAUGUGUUGAGUCUUCGUAAGGACUUGAUCAAUCUUAGUUUUCAAUUAUUUAUAUUUAUAUUAUCUAAGAGAAAUUAUACUGUAAUUAUAUCAAAUUUUCUAUUAAAAAGAAUGGCAGGCAUGCUUAAUUCAAUAUAAAUACCCAUCACAGAAACUAGAAUGUGCCAGCAGGUACUUGCAGCUCAAUAAUUGAAUACGAUAAGUUGAUAACUCUUGAAAUGAAACUGAGUCCUCUGUAACCUUGACUGGGGAUGGGCAGUCAGCAGGGAAAGCAGCUUUAUUUGAAUACUAAAAAUAGCAUCGCAAUCAUGUUCAAAGCCCAUUGAAAAUGAAUAUUUUGGGUCUCCAAGGUACCCAUUUCUAGUUCUACAAGAAAAAUAAAAAAAUAAAAGAAAAACGAAUAUUGGAAGAAACAAAUUAUUUUCACUUGCAAAUACAUGUUUUAAGAACAAAAAAUGAUUAAAAGAAAAAGAAAGCACGAUUAUCUUUAGGACAAAAUUUGCCUUAGACAAUGACAUAAACUUUGCCAUCAUCUGAGUUAGAAAUUUUUUUCUCUUUCAUAUAUUCUUAAGCCAUACUCGCAAUCCAUGCGCAAAGAUGAUAUUUAUAUUUAUUAAUUUGUCUGAGCUGGUUAAGAUUUCGUAACAAAUAAUUAAGAUUCUCUUAAGGCAAUGGCAUAUGCCAAGAAAUGAUGCGGCUUAAAAUCCUGUGCCACUGAAAAGUAUUGUUCAACUACCUCACCUGUUCUUCCCCAAUAAUAACCAAAAAAAAUAAAAAUAAAAAUUCUCCGCCAAAUAGCUCUCAAACAGUGUUUCUGCUAAAAAUUGAAGGAAGUGAUGCUUCUCAACGUUUUGAACUCCAAAGCAGGCAAUCAUCUAAAAUUCCAAUCAAGAAUUCAAUUUAUUUAACACAGCUGAACACAUGCAUCCAAGAUUUACAGCAAAAGAAUUUCUUUUAACUUCGGAUCACUGAGAAAAGAUGGUAAAUUUUUAUUACAAUUUCAAGGUGAAGAACCCCACAAAACCUCAGCUACAAUGGUAGCUGCUUCAGCAUCAGAAACAGAAGCAUCCCUAACUCUCUUCAAUAUCUCUUGCUUGAAUGCUCUUUUCUCUCUCUGCCUCAACCCUUCCCCAACUUCUAGCUGUACUGCAAAUCUUGCUACACAGCUUGCAAAUGGAUGGAUUUCUAAGAACCUCUUUUCCCUGCUCUCUCGCCUCUCUAUCUUGUCUUCAGCACUGUUCCCGUUAGCAGUUUCUUUCCCAUCAAAUCUACCCAUGUCAAUCAAAUCACCACCAAGCUCUGAUCUUUGCAAAUCUACAAGCUUCUUUAUCAAACCUUCUUUGAGCAUAGCUUCUAUUGCCUCUUUGAGGCCAAAAUACCCAAUUUCAAGAAUGCAAUCCAUUGUUAGAACGCGAAGUUCCAGGUCUUUAUAGUCCAAGAAACUAAUGAUUUUGGGUAUUUCGCCACUGGACUCGAUCUCAUCUACCAGCGGUGACUUGAUUAACUUGAUGAGCGUACAGAGUACUUCCAUUGAUUUCCAGGAAGCCAUUGACACAAGAGCAUGAAUCAAAGGACCCAUUAGCAUUUGACCCACGAAAACAUCUUUAUUGAAUCGAAUCAAAGCUGCAACAACAAAAGCGCACUGUUCUCGAAUCCUCUUCGAGCAAUUGGGAUCGCAGAUUAUUUUUUCAAGCAACAAAAGAAUCUUAGAUUUAAGAAUCAAAUCUUGUAACUCGCGAUUAAACCCUUGCGAGAGCCUAUUCUCAAACUGAGUUAACAAACUCACCAACUCGUCUUCGUUCUUUACAGUCCCUUUCAACAAAGUCGUCAAAUUCUCGAUGCUUUCACGAUCGAUCCAGGCUUGAAUCUCAGACUCAAUCGACCCAGCGACUCGCGAGAUGGAGUGGGUGGAUACUCGGCGAGUCAAGAAAUUCCGAAGGCUAUAACCACGGGAUUUCUGACGAGUGUCAACGAGGGUUCUAAGGCUGGUGAGAUGUUGUGAAAGAGUAGAGAGAUGUGGAUCUUUGGAGAGGAUGGUGUCAGACUCAGUUUGGAGCUCUAACAGAGCUUUAAUGGCGGGUGAGUUGGAGUCAGCAGUCCUAGGAAUGGGGUGGGCUUGGAGAUCGUGAGAGGCUUGUCUGAGAGCUUCAAGGACCUUGAGGACUCUGGAGAUCUCCUCCUUGGAAGACGGGUCUUCCAUUAGUGGCCGAUUCCAGC
rnacentral:misc_RNA from 1 species